CAGGGAGUAAGGAAGGGAUCACUGAAAAGGGAGCCUCUGAGCACGGCCUUCAAGGAUGGUCAGUAAGAACUCAGGGCUUUAAUCAAGGAGACAAAUGAUCACAAGUGUGUACAAUACGGUGAUUCAACCAUGCUAUACGUUAUUCAGUGCUCAUCACAGGCUUGAGAGUGGGCCUCUGGAGAGAAGCAGGGCUCUGUGCAAGGGCAGAAGCCAAGAGACACAGAGAAGGCAGUGAGCAGGAGCCAAGAUUCAGGAAGACGCGGCGGUGGUGAACCAGAAGAUGAGAUGAAGGAAUCCUUUCAGACUUUAAGCAGGAGAAUGGCAUGCCCCGUUUGUGGGAAAUGGUACGGGAAGAGGCGAAAGGAGAACCAGACAGACGACGUAGGAGGCUGGAGGCAUCAUCAGGAAGCGAGGAAACGAAACCCAAAAGUCCCUCAAGAGAUGAAUGGACAAGUAAAAUGUGGUAUAGUCCUACAACAGAAUCCAUACAGUGGAGUAUUCUUUGGUCGUCAAAAGGGAAUGAAGAACUACCUACUACAACAUGGGUGAGCCUCGAAAGCCCACUAGGUGAAAGAAGCCAGUCACAAGAGGCCACAUGUUUUUGUUUGCCCUAACACAGUACUGCAGUCUGGGUGGCUUUGAUA